CUCAGGUGAGGGUGGGGUAGGCACCUCUGAGCUCAGGCUCUCCUUGGGCGGUCCUUGCUGCGGCUGCUGUGGGGGCUGGGGGUGAGAUUCCCAGGUCACUGGAGUUAUGUACCUAGGAGGAUUAUGUCUGCCUCUGCUGAGUCAUGCAGGUUGUCAGGGAAGUGGGGGAAAGCCGGCAGUCACAGGGCUCACCCAGCUCCCACCCAAACCAAAGGGCCGGUCUCACUCCCACCGUGCACCCCCCAACAGCCCCCAGUCCGUUUCCAGGCGGAGAGGGAUACAGGCCUGAAAACCUGCCCCAGGCUACCCGCCUCCCAGCUGCGAGAGAAAAAGGCUUGGUUCUUCCCCCGCCUGUGGAGUCAGCACCCCGGAUUCGUGCCCUGCCCUAGUUCUGGCCAGGAGGAUUCUCACCCAGUUCAAACUGUUACAACGCUCAGCUAGAGAUUUCCUUCUCCCUGUGGAGUUUUACCCCCUCCUCUCCCGAUGGAUCCCUGUGGUGCCAGCAGGAAUGGGCUGCUCGGGGACCCAGCGAGCUCCGCGGGCCUUUCCGCUGCUUCCUCUACCCCUGUACCUCACUGGGCUCCCCAGACGGACUCAGCUCCAGGUGUCUGUGAACUCAAGAG
rnacentral:lncRNA from 10 species